UGGGGAAUAUUGCACAAUGGGCGCAAGCCUGAUGCAGCCAUGCCGCGUGUGUGAAGAAGGCCUUCGGGUUGUAAAGCACUUUCAGCGAGGAGGAAGGUGGUGAGCUUAAUACGCUCAUCAAUUGACGUUACUCGCAGAAGAAGCACCGGCUAACUCCGUGCCAGCAGCCGCGGUAAUACGGAGGGUGCAAGCGUUAAUCGGAAUUACUGGGCGUAAAGCGCACGCAGGCGGUUUGUUAAGUCAGAUGUGAAAUCCCCGGGCUCAACCUGGGAACUGCAUUUGAAACUGGCAAGCUAGAGUCUCGUAGAGGGGGGUAGAAUUCCAGGUGUAGCGGUGAAAUGCGUAGAGAUCUGGAGGAAUACCGGUGGCGAAGGCGGCCCCCUGGACGAAGACUGACGCUCAGGUGCGAAAGCGUGGGGCAGCAAACAGGAUUAGAUACCCUGGUAGUCCACGCUGUAAACGAUGUCGAUUUGGAGGUUGUGCCCUUGAGGCGUGGCUUCCGGAGCUAACGCGUUAAAUCGACCGCCUGGGGAGUACGGCCGCAAGGUUAAAACUUAAAGGAAUUG
rnacentral:rRNA from 1 species